AGACAACUUACCCUUGGGACCGGGAUAACCCUUGGGAAACUAGGGCUAAUACCGGAUAGUGCAUCGAUUGCUGGAAUGCACGAUGUACGAAAGCUGAGGCGCCCAAGGAUAGGUCUGUGGCCGAUUAGGUUGUUGUUGAUGUAACGGAUCAACAAGCCUACGAUCGGUACGGGUUGUGAGAGCAAUAGCCCGGAGAUGGGUUCUGAGAGAAGAACCCAGGUCCUACGGGACGCAUCAGGCGCGAAAACUUUACAAUGUGCGAAAGCACGAUAAGGGAACUCUGAGUGCCUCCUAAGGAGGCUGUUCAGAUGUUUAAAAAGCAUCUGGAGGAAGGGCUGGGCAAGACCGGUGCCAGCCGCCGCGGUAACACCGGCAGCCCAAGUGGUGGUCACGCUUACUGGGUCUAAAGCGUCCGUAGCCGGCUAGGUAAGUUCCUUGGGAAAUUUGAUCGCUUAACGAUUAAGCUUCCUGGGAAUACUAUCUGGCUUGGGACCGGGAGAGGUCAGAGGUACCUCAAGGGUAGGGGUGAAAUCCGUUAAUCCUUGGGGGACCACCAGUAGCGAAGGCGUCUGACCAGACCGGAUCCGACGGUGAGGGACGAAGGCUAGGGGAGCGAACCGGAUUAGAUACCCGGGUAGUCCUAGCUGUAAACGAUGCGGGCUAGGUGUUGGUAUUACUGCGAGUGAUGCCAGUGCCGAAGGGAAGCCGUUAAGCCCGCCAUCUGGGGAGUACGGUCGCAAGGCUGAAACUUAA
rnacentral:rRNA from 1 species